ensembl:lincRNA Gm12862 predicted gene 12862
CUAGGCAUUGAACCACGGCUUGCAGCACAAAUACCCACUGAGCCUCCUCAGCAGCCCUCGAAAUCAAGUCUGAUGGGGACCUGCGGCAUCCCGGAGGCUGACUGUGUUAGGUUCACACUACGUGGAUUUCCUGAGGGACACCAGGGUCUGACAUCAUUGUUGAUCCUCCGGCCUCUACCUUCCACGUGCUGGGAUCGUGGGCCUGUGCCGCCUCGUAUCACCUCAUGUCACUUCGUACCACUGCGUCUCGCUGAGUUCUGCUUUCUUGCCUGAGCUGAGGAUGUGGAAACCCUAAAGAGGAAGUGCACUGUAAAGGACUUUCCUUUUUAGGGCCUCAUCAUUCUAGAAGGUUCCUUCCUGCUGACCUCCUCCCCUAGGGCAGCUCCUCUGCAGUUGUGGGUGUGCACCUGGUUUCUACCCAAGUUGCUGGCCAGUUUGCCUAAUCCUGUGGCACUGUUAUGAAAUCCUAAUU